AGUUGCAGUAUUGUUUACAUCUCUGGUUGGAUCUCUGGGCUGGAUCUCAUUCAUCUUCCCCACCACCACACCACACAAGCCAUGGCCCUUCCAUCUAUAAAUCUUGCUCCUUGCCUUCUUCCUUCUCUAUGCUUCUUCCUUCCCCUCUCACACCCUUGAUUCUUGAUGAGAUGAGAUGAGAUGCUACACCAUCGCUGCGUGGUUUCUCAUCCUUCCUCAAUUCUUGCCGAUUCUCAUCCCAGGUUAAUUGGCCCGUGCGGUGUAGGCAAUCUCCGUUGGAUUCUCAUGCUAGUUAGCUUCUUUCUCUCAUCUGUUCUUGGCUAGCUUCUCAUGGUUUUCUUGCCUCUGGUCCUGCCUUUCUCCCUACGUUCAAAGAUUAUUUCUCCUAGGUUUCCAUCACUCAACCUUGCCUUCACUCUCUGUGGUUGCUCCUAUCCCUUGUAUUUUAUGCGAUCUUGAUCUUGGGGAGAUCGGCUGCCCGAGGGAACGAGUGAAGCUGCCAGCAUGAUCUAGCUCUGAGUGAUCAACAAGCAGCAUAUACACAUAUGAGUAUGUGGUCAUCCCUUGCUAGGUCAUGCUGCGGCAGCCUCACUUCUUCCUGCCGUUGGGCACAGCUGCUAUAUCUGGUGACCGAUUCUACAAUCUGCGCAGUGUUUUCAUCAAAGAAGUAGGUACCAGUGUUCGUCUCGUUAUGUGCCUUGCCCUGAGCUCGAAGCCUUGCGUCCAGGACUCCAGGUGGCGUUUCAACUGCUAUUUAUCCUCUGAAUCUGAAACAUAUUUUUUUGAUAGUCUAUGCUACUCUCCUUGAUGGGUAUAUUUGGUGGCUAGACACAAAUGUACCGUGUAUUAUCAUGGUCGGCUGAAGAACUCUUUUGUUGUUUUUCAAGAAAUGAAUCCUUAUUUUAUUUUA